AUACGUAGGUGGCGAGCGUUAUCCGGAAUGAUUGGGCGUAAAGGGUGCGUAGGUGGCCUUAUAAGUCUGGAGUGAAAGGCGGCAGCUCAACUGCCGUAUGCUCUGGAAACUGUGAGGCUGGAGUGCAGGAGAGGGCGAUGGAACUCCAUGUGUAGCGGUAAAAUGCGUAGAUAUAUGGAAGAACACCAGUGGCGAAGGCGGUCGCCUGGCCUGUAACUGACACUGAAGCACGAAAGCGUGGGGAGC
rnacentral:rRNA from 1 species